CUCCGGAAACUUCAAGAACCUCUUCUCGUUUGCAAUGCUUCAAUUGUAAGGGCUUCGGCCAUAUCUCCUCUAGAUGUCCGAGUCGAGCCUUAGUUAUUGACGAGCGAAAGGAUGUCGUUGAUGAGCCUUUAGAAGAUCAUGUCUAUGAGCCUAACUUUGAAGAGUUUGACGAUUUGGGUGAUAAUGAGGAUACCUUCUUAGGUUGCCUUCAUACCCUUCUUGUAGAUCUAGGUCCUACUUAUCUGGUCCUCGAC
rnacentral:lncRNA from 1 species